rnacentral:rRNA from 1 species
AAAUUGAAGAGUUUGAUCAUGGCUCAGAUUGAACGCUGGCGGCAGGCCUAACACAUGCAAGUCGAACGGUAACAGGAAACAGCUUGCUGUUUCGCUGACGAGUGGCGGACGGGUGAGUAAUGUCUGGGAAACUGCCUGAUGGAGGGGGAUAACUACUGGAAACGGUAGCUAAUACCGCAUAACGUCGCAAGACCAAAGAGGGGGACCCUCGGGCCUCUUGCCAUCGGAUGUG